UUAAGCGACUAAGCGUACACGGUGGAUGCCCUGGCAGUCAGAGGCGAUGAAGGACGUGCUAAUCUGCGAUAAGCGUCGGUAAGGUGAUAUGAACCGUUAUAACCGGCGAUUUCCGAAUGGGGAAACCCAGUGUGUUUCGACACACUAUCAUUAACUGAAUCCAUAGGUUAAUGAGGCGAACCGGGGUGAACUGAAACAUCUAAGUACCCCGUGGAAAAAAAAUCAACCGAGAUUCCGCCAGUAGCGUCGAGCGAACGGGGAGGAGCCCAGAGCCUGAAUCAGUGUGUGUGUUAGUGGAAGCGUCUGGAAAGGCGCGCGAUACAGGGUGACAGCCCCGUACACAAAAAUGCACAUGCUGUGAGCUCGAUGAGUAGGGCGGGACACGUGGUAUCCUGUCUGAAUAUGGGGGGACCAUCCUCCAAGGCUAAAUACUCCUGACUGACCGAUAGUGAACCAGUACCGUGAGGGAAAGGCGAAAAGAACCCCGGCGAGGGGAGUGAAAAAGAACCUGAAACCGUGUACGUACAAGCAGUGGGAGCACAGAGCAAUCUGUGUGACUGCGUACCUUUUGUAUAAUGGGUCAGCGACUUAUAUUCUGUAGCAAGGUUAACCGAAUAGGGGAGCCGAAGGGAAACCGAGUCUUAACUGGGCGUUAAGUUGCAGGGUAUAGACCCGAAACCCGGUGAUCUAGCCAUGGGCAGGUUGAAGGUUGGGUAACACUAACUGGAGGACCGAACCGACUAAUGUUGAAAAAUUAGCGGAUGACUUGUGGCUGGGGGUGAAAGGCCAAUCAAACCGGGAGAUAGCUGGUUCUCCCCGAAAGCUAUUUAGGUAGCGCCUCGUGAAUUCAUCUCCGGGGGUAGAGCACUGUUUCGGCAAGGGGGUCAUCCCGACUUACCAACCCGAUGCAAACUGCGAAUACCGGAGAAUGUUAUCACGGGAGACACACGGCGGGUGCUAACGUCCGUCGUGAAGAGGGAAACAACCCAGACCGCCAGCUAAGGUCCCAAAGUCAUGGUUAAGUGGGAAACGAUGUGGGAAGGCCCAGACAGCCAGGAUGUUGGCUUAGAAGCAGCCAUCAUUUAAAGAAAGCGUAAUAGCUCACUGGUCGAGUCGGCCUGCGCGGAAGAUGUAACGGGGCUAAACCAUGCACCGAAGCUGCGGCAGCGACACUGUGUGUUGUUGGGUAGGGGAGCGUUCUGUAAGCCUGUGAAGGUGUGCUGUGAGGCAUGCUGGAGGUAUCAGAAGUGCGAAUGCUGACAUAAGUAACGAUAAAGCGGGUGAAAAGCCCGCUCGCCGGAAGACCAAGGGUUCCUGUCCAACGUUAAUCGGGGCAGGGUGAGUCGACCCCUAAGGCGAGGCCGAAAGGCGUAGUCGAUGGGAAACAGGUUAAUAUUCCUGUACUUGGUGUUACUGCGAAGGGGGGACGGAGAAGGCUAUGUUGGCCGGGCGACGGUUGUCCCGGUUUAAGCGUGUAGGCUGGUUUUCCAGGCAAAUCCGGAAAAUCAAGGCUGAGGCGUGAUGACGAGGCACUACGGUGCUGAAGCAACAAAUGCCCUGCUUCCAGGAAAAGCCUCUAAGCAUCAGGUAACAUCAAAUCGUACCCCAAACCGACACAGGUGGUCAGGUAGAGAAUACCAAGGCGCUUGAGAGAACUCGGGUGAAGGAACUAGGCAAAAUGGUGCCGUAACUUCGGGAGAAGGCACGCUGAUAUGUAGGUGAAGUCCCUCGCGGAUGGAGCUGAAAUCAGUCGAAGAUACCAGCUGGCUGCAACUGUUUAUUAAAAACACAGCACUGUGCAAACACGAAAGUGGACGUAUACGGUGUGACGCCUGCCCGGUGCCGGAAGGUUAAUUGAUGGGGUCAGCGCAAGCGAAGCUCUUGAUCGAAGCCCCGGUAAACGGCGGCCGUAACUAUAACGGUCCUAAGGUAGCGAAAUUCCUUGUCGGGUAAGUUCCGACCUGCACGAAUGGCGUAAUGAUGGCCAGGCUGUCUCCACCCGAGACUCAGUGAAAUUGAACUCGCUGUGAAGAUGCAGUGUACCCGCGGCAAGACGGAAAGACCCCGUGAACCUUUACUAUAGCUUGACACUGAACAUUGAGCCUUGAUGUGUAGGAUAGGUGGGAGGCUUUGAAGUGUGGACGCCAGUCUGCAUGGAGCCGACCUUGAAAUACCACCCUUUAAUGUUUGAUGUUCUAACGUGGACCCGUGAUCCGGGUUGCGGACAGUGUCUGGUGGGUAGUUUGACUGGGGCGGUCUCCUCCUAAAGAGUAACGGAGGAGCACGAAGGUUGGCUAAUCCUGGUCGGACAUCAGGAGGUUAGUGCAAUGGCAUAAGCCAGCUUGACUGCGAGCGUGACGGCGCGAGCAGGUGCGAAAGCAGGUCAUAGUGAUCCGGUGGUUCUGAAUGGAAGGGCCAUCGCUCAACGGAUAAAAGGUACUCCGGGGAUAACAGGCUGAUACCGCCCAAGAGUUCAUAUCGACGGCGGUGUUUGGCACCUCGAUGUCGGCUCAUCACAUCCUGGGGCUGAAGUAGGUCCCAAGGGUAUGGCUGUUCGCCAUUUAAAGUGGUACGCGAGCUGGGUUUAGAACGUCGUGAGACAGUUCGGUCCCUAUCUGCCGUGGGCGCUGGAGAACUGAGGGGGGCUGCUCCUAGUACGAGAGGACCGGAGUGGACGCAUCACUGGUGUUCGGGUUGUCAUGCCAAUGGCACUGCCCGGUAGCUAAAUGCGGAAGAGAUAAGUGCUGAAAGCAUCUAAGCACGAAACUUGCCCCGAGAUGAGUUCUCCCUGACCCUUUAAGGGUCCUGAAGGAACGUUGAAGACGACGACGUUGAUAGGCCGGGUGUGUAAGCGCAGCGAUGCGUUGAGCUAACCGGUACUAAUGAACCGUGAGGCUUAACCU
rnacentral:rRNA from 1 species